CCUACGGGAGGCAGCAGUGAGGAAUAUUGGUCAAUGGGCGCGAGCCUGAACCAGCCAAGUAGCGUGAAGGAUGACUGCCCUACGGGUUUUAAACUUCUUUUAUAAAGGAAUAAAGUGAGGCACGUGUGCCUUUUUGUAUGUACUUUAUGAAUGAGGAUCGGCUAACUCCGUGCCAGCAGCCGCGGUCAUCCGGAGGAUCCGAGCGUUGUCCGGAUUUAUUGGGUUGAAAGGGAGCGUAGAUGGGUUGUUAAGUAAGUUGUGAAAGUUUGCGGCUCAACCGUAAAAUUGCAAUUGAUACUGGAAGUCUUGAGUACAGUUGAGGUAGGUGGAAUUCGUGGUGUAGCGGUGAAAUGCUUAGAUAUCACGAAGAACUCCGAUUGCGAAGGCAGCUUACUAAACUGCAACUGACAUUGAUGCUCGAAAGUGUGGGUAUCAAACAGGAUUAGAUACCCGAGUAGUC
rnacentral:rRNA from 1 species